rnacentral:tRNA from 1 species
GGUUUGUGGCUCAGUGGUAGAGCGAUUGCCUAGCAUGCAUGAGGCACUAGGUUUGAUCCCUGGCACCA